CCGCGUGGGGGAUGACGGCCUUCGGGUUGUAAACUCCUUUCGUUAGGGACGAAGCCACACCUUUUUUUGGGUGUGGUGACGGUACCUUUGUUAAGAAGCACCGGCUAACUACGUGCCAGCAGCCGCGGUAAUACGUAGGGUGCGAGCGUUGUCCGGAAUUACUGGGCGUAAAGAGCUCGUAGGUGGUUUGUUGCGUCGUCUGUGAAAUUCCGGGGCUUAACUUCGGGGUGGCAGGCGAUACGGGCAUAACUAGAGUGCUGUAGGGGAGACUGGAAUUCCUGGUGUAGCGGUGGAAUGCGCAGAUAUCAGGAGGAACACCGAUGGCGAAGGCAGGUCUCUGGGCAGUAACUGACGCUGAGGAGCGAAAGCAUGGGGAGCGAACAGGAUUAGAUACCCUGGUAGUCCAUGCUGUAAACGGUGGGCGUUAGGUGUGGGGACCGGUUUGGUUUCUGUGCCGUAGCUAACGCAUUAAGCGCCCCGCCUGGGGAGUACGGCCGCAAGGCUAAAACUCAAAGGAAUUGACGGGGGCCCGCACAAG
rnacentral:rRNA from 1 species